rnacentral:rRNA from 1 species
UGGGGAAUUUUGGACAAUGGGCGCAAGCCUGAUCCAGCCAUGCCGCGUGAGUGAAGAAGGCCUUCGGGUUGUAAAGCUCUUUCGGCGGGGAAGAAAUUGCGUGGGUUAAUACCCUGCGUAGAUGACGGUACCCGCAUAAGAAGCACCGGCUAACUACGUGCCAGCAGCCGCGGUAAUACGUAGGGUGCGAGCGUUAAUCGGAAUUACUGGGCGUAAAGCGUGCGCAGGCGGUUAUAUAAGUCAGAUGUGAAAUCCCCGGGCUCAACCUGGGAACUGCAUUUGAGACUGUAUGACUAGAGUGUGGCAGAGGGGGGUGGAAUUCCACGUGUAGCAGUGAAAUGCGUAGAGAUGUGGAGGAACACCGAUGGCGAAGGCAGCCCCCUGGGCCAAUACUGACGCUCAUGCACGAAAGCGUGGGGAGCAAACA